UAUGGCCACAUCACAUUGAAACACUGGUUCCUGUAAAAUCCCCAAAGUUAAGCAAUGUCAAGCUUGGUCAGUACAUAGAUGGGUGACCACUUGGGAAUAUUAGGUGCUGUAAG